rfam:Ictidomys tridecemlineatus contig002362, whole genome shotgun sequence.
AGGGCUGUAGCUCAGUGGUAGAGCACUUGCUUAGCAUCAUGAGGUCCCGGGUUCAAUUCCCAGCACUG